GGGGAUUUAGCUCAGUGGUAGAGCGCUUGCCUAGCAAAUGCAAGGUCCUGGGUUCGGUCCCCAGCUCCA
rnacentral:tRNA from 1 species